ACUUUGAGAAGUGGCUUGGAGUCAUUAAAUCUGAAAUAAAGUCCAUGAAGAUCGAUGAUGUAUGGACAUUCAUUGAUUCACCUAAAGGGGUAUGACCCAUAGGGUGUGAGUGAAUUUUAGAUGGAUAAGAGGUGCAGACGAAAAGGUGGAGACCUAUUAAUUUUAUCUGAUUGUCAAAAAAUUUCAUCAAAGUUAUAGUGUUGACUAUGACG
rnacentral:lncRNA from 1 species